rnacentral:rRNA from 1 species
UACGAAGGGGGCUAGCGUUGCUCGGAAUCACUGGGCGUAAAGGGUGCGUAGGCGGGUUUUUAAGUCAGGGGUGAAAUCCUGGAGCUCAACUCCAGAACUGCCUUUGAUACUGAGGAUCUUGAGUUCGGGAGAGGUGAGUGGAACUGCGAGUGUAGAGGUGGAAUUCGUAGAUAUUCGCAAGAACACCAGUGGCGAAGGCGGCUCACUGGCCCGAUACUGACGCUGAGGCACGAAAGCGUGGGGAGCAAACAGG